CUCGUCACGGGGUCAAAAGAAGGGUACACGGUGGACGGAGGGCCGCUAGGUGGCGUAGGGGGGGAGAGAGAACGGGACCUGGAGUCAGGAAGACGAGAUCAGCAUCAAAUGGGACCUGUAUAAUUAUUAACAUUAUAAAGAAGCAGAGCCAGGACACCACUACAAUUGAAUGGAGCCCACUAGACUCUCAGGAAUGGCUUCACUCAAGUCUGUCCCAGUACUAAAGAAUCUUCUGUCCUAUCUUUGAGCAUCUUUAAACAGAGGGGGGAAAAACAUGAAUAAAUGAACUUGGAAUGGUUUCAUUUUUCAGGAAUAUCAGUGUAAUGUAAUGGAAAGAGUACUAUACCUGGUAUCAAGAGAAACUUGAUUUGAAUACUGGUUCUGAUGUUUACUACUUUUGUUAUUUUGGGCAAGGCAUUUUACGUAUUUGAGCCUUAGUUUCCCCACCUGUAAAGUGAAUAUAACAAUACUUACACUAUUACUUUUCAAAGUUAGUGUUAGAAUAACACAUAGGAAAGCUUAAAAUACCAUUUAAUUUUGAGUCAAUUAUUCUUCCUGUUUUCCCCAGAGCCAUUUGAUUAUAUAGGUACAGUAUAAGCUAUGUUCAACUUGAUUCAGCAAAUAAUGAGCACCUAUACAGCUACUGUUCCCAGCUCUCUGCUGGAAUGGGGGAGGAGAUCGAGAGAAGGGGUAAAUAAUACAUUGGUCCAGCUUUAAAAAAAAAAAGCAUUCAAUUUAGGAGAGGAGAUUGAGAAGUCACCAACAACUAUAAUAAAAAGAUAUGUUAUGAAGGUAUUAGCAAUAUUAGCACUGUAGUCAAUAAUAGUGAUAAAACAGAGGAGUUGACUGUUUUAGGACUUAGGUGGUGAAAAGCAUGAAGAUACUGAUAAGUAAGUAGCUUUCAAUCAUCAUUAUAGUAAGUUCUGGGUUAGUAUUUUGUAUUUUCUUAUUGAGCCCUUUCAUUUCAGUAGUGUAGGGAAGUCCCAGUAAGGACAUCCUAUCAAUGUAGAUACAUCAUUGUUCUAUCAUCUAUAGUCCUAGGGAGUUGCCUAGGGUAUUGUUAAUUUAAAUGAAUUGCCCAGUCAUACAUUUGCAGUAUAUAUCAGAAGUGAAAAUUAAAGCCAGGUCUCCUGAACUCCAGGCUAAAUCCCUAUCCAAUACACUAUGCAGCAUUACUGGUGACAUUUAAGAAGAGGCUUUUACAAGACCUGUUCUUUUAAUUAAUUUGGGGUUUGUUUUUUGUGAGUGAAAUUUUUCAUGGAUAGGCAGAAAGAUGAGAGAAUUCUCUUCUUUGAAUGUGACUUUGUGCUUUUUCUUCUUUGUUGCAUUAACUCUCAUGGUAGUCAAGAAGGGAGGGGAAGAGGAGGAAGAAGGAAGGGAGGAGAGAGAGAUUCAUUGGAUUUUUCAUUCCUUUUCCAGAUACAUGCUCUCUUGUGGUAGUGUUUAGUAUUGUUUUUAUAUGCAAGUGCUGAGAUUUUGAUGUAAAGAUCUUUCAGUUGUAAUUUUGCUUACAUUUCUUUUAGGACACCUAUGAUAAGAAGUUGAUUUUUUGAGACUCAAUACCCAGCACUCCAAAUAUGGUUUGACAGUCUACUCAAAAUGAUAUAACUGGUGGCAAUGGGGGGAAUAAUGAAAGAUUAUACAGAGAAGGUAGAAAGUUCAAUAGGUUCCUGAUCUCAAUAUUUUAUAUAUACACUCACAUUGUCCAUUAUCAGCUACAAUAGUAUAAUGACCUUAGAGUAGAAUGGGAAAAUAUAGCUGGUAUUGCUGAAAUUAAGAAUAAAUGUAAUGAAAUUAAACUAAUAAUUUGAUAAUCUCAGUUUUUAAAAAAAUCCUCAUGAGUACAAGAUGGAGGAGGCAUGGUUAGAUAACACUUUGCCUAAGAAAACAUCUACAGAUUUAGAAUAAUGAGGCAUCUUUUGGAAAGAUACAGUGGGCUGCAAGCUCAAUAUGAGUCAAUGGUGUGAUGUAGCAGCCAAAAAAGCUAAUAUGAUCUUGGGAUGAAUUAUGUGAGGCACAAAUACAGGGUUAUAAAGGUCCUUCUGACUUUUCAACUCUUCAAGUUUUGGUUAGACUCCAUCUGGAGUGUUCAGUUCUGGGCCCAACAGGAAUAAAUUAGAGAAUGUCCAAAGAGGAACACAAAUUAGUGAAAAUACUCUGGUUUAUAUCACAUGGAGCUUGGUUGAAGGAAGCUGGGGACAUUUAGCCUAGAGAAAUGAUCACAGUGAAGAGAUGAAAACUGUCUCUUAAGUACUUGAAAGGUUAUCACACCUUUGAGGAUCAUUAGAAUUUUUCUGUUUAGCCUCAGAGGGCAGAACAAGGAACAAUGAUUGGAAGUUGUAGAAACAAAUUUGACGUGAUAUAAUGGAAAAUUUCCUAACAAGUAGAGCUAUCCAAAAGUGGAAUGAACUGUUUGAGGAAGUGAUGAGUUCCCCCUUGCUGGUCUUUUUAAACAAAGACUGGAUGUCUUUUUGUUUUUGUUUUGGAAAUUUAUAUAUGUAUAUAUAAUUUUUCCCCAAUUACAUGUAAAAGCAACUCCAAAUUCUCACUCCUCUCCUUGAGAAGACAAUUUGAUAUAGAAUAAUCAUUAGCAGUCAUUCAAAAUAUAUUCAUUAGCCAUAUAGCAAAAGAAAACAGAACAAAAACAAAUGAACAAAAAACUUUUUUAAGUCCUUUUCAAUCUGCAUUCAAUCAUCAAUUAUUUCUCUAGAGGUAGAUCACAUUUUUCAUCCUAAAUUCUUCAAAAUUGUCUUGAAUCAAGUUUAGGGUAAUCUAUAGGCCUCAAACUCAUGAAUGAGAUAGGAGAAUAUCUACCCCAAGCAUGUAAAGACUUCCCUUGGAGGAAUGGGCAGAUGAGAACUUCAUUCUAAUAGCUAUGAAGGUGUAUGCUAUGGACUGCUUAAAGUUUGGUCAGAUAUUGAAGUUGCCAAGGUCAUUUACUGCAUCCCAGGCCAUUGACAGUCAUCCUGAUUUUUAUCUUGCCACUGGGCUUCAAUGACUCUGGAAGAGAGUGAGGCUUAUGAGUUCCAAUUUUAUUAGACAAGACUAUCACCUCAUGAUGUCAUCAGUCCUCUGAGACUAAGAACAAAGAGAAGAAACAAAGAUCAUUGUAUUGUUAGAAUAGCUAAGACAUUCAUAGUUGAUCAUUGUACAAUAUUGCUAUAUACAGUGUUCUUCUGAUUCUCUUUUCACUUUGUAUCAGUUCAUGUCUUACCCAAGUUUUUCUAAAAGCAUUCUGCUUGAAAGAUUGGAUGUCUUCAACCUUACUGCCUGGCGAUCUUCAGACCAUCAUUUUCCUGUGAUACAGCCCCCCCCCCUUUUUUUUGGCACAGUCUAGCACUUCUGUUCUCACUCCAGAAUCCUAACUUUGUGUCUGGUGAGCAUUCGCCCCAUAUAGCCUGGACACAUCCACCAUACUGUUUCAUGGCAA